rnacentral:rRNA from 1 species
UACAGGGGGGGCGAGCGUUGUUCGGAUUUAUUGGGCGUAAAGAGCUCGUAGGCGGUUUGGCAAGUCGGGUGUGAAAACUCCGGGCUCAACUCGGAGACGCCACUCGAUACUGCUAUGACUCGAGUCCGGUAGGGGAGUGCGGAAUUCCUGGUGUAGCGGUGAAAUGCGCAGAUAUCAGGAGGAACACCGGUGGCGAAGGCGGAUCUCUGGGCCGUAACUGACGCUGAGGAGCGAAAGCAUGGGGAGCGAACAGG